ensembl:snoRNA
AGCAGAGUGGCUACGUGGAGACACAGGUUAUGCUUCCAUCGCAGUAAUUUUAUUGCAGUGGUGCCAAUGAGACCUGAGACAGUU